rnacentral:rRNA from 1 species
GAUGAACGCUAGCUACAGGCUUAACACAUGCAAGUCGCAGGGUAACAUGAGGAAAGCUUGCUUUCCUUGAUGACGACUGGCGCACGGGUGAGUAACGCGUAUCCAACCUUCCCAUAACUACGGGAUAACCCGUUGAAAGACGGCCUAAUACCGUAUGAUAUCGUUUGCUGACAUCAAAUAACGAUUAAAGGUUUAGCGGUUAUGGAUGGGGAUGCGUCUGAUUAGCUUGUUGGCGGGGUAACGGCCCACCAAGGCGACGAUCAGUAGGGGUUCUGAGAGGAAGGUCCCCCACAUUGGAACUGAGACACGGUCCAAACUCCUACGGGAGGCAGCAGUGAGGAAUAUUGGUCAAUGGGCGAGAGCCUGAACCAGCCAAGUAGCGUGCAGGACGACGGCCCUAUGGGUUGUAAACUGCUUUUAUGUGGGGAUAAAGUGCGUGACGUGUCAUGCAUAGCAGGUACCACAUGAAUAAGGACCGGCUAAUUCCGUG